rnacentral:rRNA from 1 species
GUCUUUUUGAUUAUAAUUUAAAGUCUAACCUGCCCAAUGAGGAGUUUAAUGGCCGCGGUAAUUUGACCGUGCAAAGGUAGCAUAAUCAUUAGUUUUUUAAUUGAAAGCUGGUAUGAAUGGUUGGACGAGGGAACAACUGUCUCAAUUUUAUUGUUAUAGAAUUUUACUUUUAAGUAAAAAGGCUUAAAUGAGUUUAAAAGACGAGAAGACCCUAUAGAAUUUUAUAUUAAUGUGAAAAAAUUAUUUUUAGAAUUUUUAUGGGUUUUUUUAUGUUAAUAUUUUGUUGGGGUGACAAUAAAAUUUAAUAAACUUUUAUUUUUUCAAUUCAUAUAUAUAUGACUAUUUGAUCCAUAAUAAUGAUUAUAAGACAAAAUUACCUUAGGGAUAACAGCGUAAUUUUUUUUGAGAGUUCUUAUCGAAAAAAGAGUUUGCGACCUCGAUGUUGGAUUAAAAUAAACUUUUGGUGCAGGAGCUAAAAAGUUAGGUCUGUUCGACCUUUAAAAUUUUACAUGAUCUGAGU